rnacentral:misc_RNA from 1 species
GAUGAAGAACGCAGCGAAAUGCGAUAAGUAAUGUGAAUUGCAGAAUUCAGUGAAUCAUCGAAUCUUUGAACGCACAUUGCGCCCGCCAGCAUUCUGGCGGGCAUGCCUGUUCGAGCGUCAUUUCAACCCUCGCAGCCCAUCUGGGCAGCGGUGUUGGGGACCGGCACCACCGGCGAAGCCCUUAGGGGCCCAGCCGGCGCCGCCCCCGAAAUACAGUGGCGGUCUCGCUGCAGCCUCCCUUGCGUAGUAGCACACCUCGCACCGGAGCGCAGCGCGGCCACGCCGUAAAACCCCCGACUUUCUGAGUUUGACCUCGAAUCAGGUAGGAAUACCCGCUGAACUUAAGCAUAUCAAUAGCGGAGGA